CGGGGCGUGGCGCAGCUUGGUAGCGCACUUGGUUUGGGACCAAGGGGCCGCCGGUUCGAAUCCGGCCGCCCCGACCA
rnacentral:tRNA from 1 species